rnacentral:rRNA from 1 species
GAUGAACGCUGGCGGCGUGCCUAAUACAUGCAAGUCGAGCGAACAGACGAGGAGCUUGCUCCUUUGACGUUAGCGGCGGACGGGUGAGUAACACGUGGAUAACCUACCUAUAAGACUGGUAUAACUUCGGGAAACCGGAGCAAAUCCCGUAUAAUAUAUUGAACCGUAUGGUUGAAUAGAGAAAGACGGUUUUGCUGUCACUUAUAGAUGUAUCCGCGCCGCAUUAGCUAGUUGGUAAGGUAACGGCUUACCAAGGCAACGAUGCGUAGCCGACCUGAGAGGGUGGUCGGCCACCCUGGAACUGAGACACGCUCUAGGCUCCUACGGGAGGCAGCAGUAUGGAAUCGUCGGCAAAGGGCGGAAGCCUGACGGAGCGACGCCGCGUGAGUGAUGAAGGUCUUCGGAUCGUAAAACUCUGUUAUGGGGGAAAAACAAAUGUGUAAGUAACUAUGCACGUCUUGACGGUACCUAGUCAAAAAGCCACGGCUAACUACGUG